AGAGAGAAGAACGAUCGUGGAGCUGUAAAAUUUGGAUACAAAAGUGUAAAUAUAACAUCAUAAACAAAAAAAUUCCAAAAGAAACAGAAAGCUUCCCUUCAUUACUUCAUGCCUUCAGAAGGCCAAUUUAACUUGCAACAAUUAUUAAUAGCAGAACUGCAAAUGACCUCUGAAUUACUUUCAAAGUGAAAUCUUAAGAACUCUUAAUUGAUCUGGCUCAGAUCAUCUAAAAAAGAGCACGACCAAUAGGCCUCUUUGUUGAGCUCAUUGAGCAAAACUCAGAUGCAAGCAAGCAUGAGAGCACAUCAUGGAAAGACUGCUUACAGUCAAUACCUACUUCUCGAAGUACUUUCAAAGUGUUCUUUGUUGAAACAUAAGAACACAACUUCAGAUCACAGGUAAGAUUUUCAAGCUUUUUUGUUCCUACAUCUAUUACGCAUAUAAAGCAGGAUGCAUUCCCUCUCAUGUGAACUUACCAUUGUAAAAACAUUAAUCACUGGUUUGGUGCCCACAUGCUUGUCUAGGCUUAAUGAACAGAUCAAACCACCUAGUCAUUCACCCUGGCUUGGCUUUGCUCAUUUGUAACCCUAGAUUGAUCAAUAGUGAGUUCUAAUUUACCCUUUACAGUUUUAGAUUCAAAUUUGUCUGAGCUAGAGUGUUGCUAGGAACACUUAUAUUUGCCCAAUGCGACUUCAGUUCAAUAACCAAUACUAUAUAACGACCAAGACCAAGUCCUAUGGAAAUGUAUUGGAUACAUUUGGGAAGUCAUUUAAAUUUAUCUUUAAGAGACCAUUUCUACAUCCUAAAACAUUUAUUACAUUUGCAGCCAACAAAAUUACCAUUUGCAUAACUAUAUUAACAUUUUAAUAAAAUCACCUUUAAUAGAGCUUCCAG
rnacentral:misc_RNA from 1 species